rnacentral:lncRNA from 1 species
GUGAGGAGGGGGAACACACUACAGUUUACAUUGUGCUUUGGUGGGAAAGGAUCUAGAAACUCUAGUCUAGUGUUCAGAUUCAGAUUAUGUAUUAGCCAACUUCUUUCUCUCCAGCAGAUAAGUGCCCUGGAUAUCUAGAAGUGUGAUGACACAGAGCAGAGCCCACUGAGGAAAGCCAGAUCUGUAUUCAACUACAUGAACAAGCAAAUUGGUGAUGCUGGCUCAACCCCUAAAUACCAACUUGUGCUGCUUAUAAUUUACUUACCAAGCUUGCUGCCGUGGAGAAUCAAGAGUGUGUGCUGUGCAAGGGACGAUGAGAAGGCAGCAGCAUUGUCCUCAUCACCAAAGGCCAUAGUCCUGCAGCACCUGAACAAGAGGAGCAGAGCAGAUCAUCACCCAAGUCCCAAGACCAGGACAAGACCAGUAUGCACUAUUCAAAUAAAUUCCUAGAGCUUAAAUGAAGUCCCUGGACCAGAGGCAUGGUGAUGUGGGGUGAGGCUGUAGAUGAAACUGAUGGAGGGCAGUUAAAAUCCAUUGAUAUUCUCAGCAUCUGACACAUUAAUUCAAUUAGAAAAAAACUUGCACAAAUAAGAUUUUGCUUUCGUAAAUGGGAGUCAGACAUUUAGCAACGUAAGGGACUAGAAGAAUGUAAGUCAUGAGAGGGCUGUCAGUCAUAGCCGAGAGAGUAGAAGCAGAUCUGGACCAGGAUGCCAGAAAAUUUUUGUCCAAAGGGGAUUUGUUAUUUAGGCUGUUUCAAGAAUGUGUAGUUUUGGAAUAACUUGGAACAAGAAAACUAUUUUUUUUCCAUUUCUUCCUCCCACCCCCUUGCCUCCAGUUAUCUAACACUGACUUGGAAAGACAGACUUAAAUUACCUUUUUUGUUGUUAAAAUUUCUGCAGGAAUUUUUUUCUCCUCUUUCCCUACUUCCACGUAACUACUUCUUUAUUAGUAUGUCUUCAGUGCAAUUCUUCAGUACUUGUAUUUUGACACUGGUCCAAAACAAUGAGGAUGUUGACUGUUAUUUAGAUCAGCACACUAAUCUGGGUGUAUUUUAGAUUCCAGUGCAGUAAAUAUUUAUUAGACAAUAAAUAAAAUUCCUAAAUAAAUGAAUGUUUGGCU